rnacentral:ncRNA from 1 species
CUGCCACAACGGCUUCCUGGCGUGGUGGGAAUAACCCCAAUGGAGCG